ACGACCUUACUUGAACAGGAUCUGUUCUAUAGGCUCGUACUACUGUAUCCUUGAGUUCUAAGGAGACAGGAACCUAAGUCUGGUUGAUGAACCAUGGCCGUGUGAUCAGAGCGUGAUUAACGGCUCUCUUGAUCUCUCACAUUGAGAGUUUCAUCUGUUGCAAUAGAGGAUCGUUCUCAGUCAGGUUUCACUGAUUGGGAUGGUUGCACGGUUGUCUGACAGACC
rfam:Lupinus angustifolius cultivar Tanjil chromosome LG03, whole genome shotgun sequence.